rnacentral:rRNA from 1 species
UACAGAGGUCUCAAGCGUUGUUCGGAUUCAUUGGGCGUAAAGGGUGCGUAGGCGGCGCGGUAAGUCGGGUGUGAAAUCUCGGAGCUUAACUCCGAAACUGCAUUCGAUACUGCCGUGCUUGAGGACUGGAGAGGAGACUGGAAUUUACGGUGUAGCGGUGAAAUGCGUAGAUAUCGUAAGGAAGACCAGUGGCGAAGGCGGCUCGCUGGACCGGUUCUGACGCUGAGGCGCGAAAGCGUGGGGAGCAAACGGG